UGGGGAAUAUUGCACAAUGGGCGAAAGCCUGGUGCAGCAACGCCGCGUGAGUGAUGAAGGCCUUCGGGUUGUAAAGCUCUGUCUUUUGGGACGAUAAUGACGGUACCAAAGGAGGAAGCCACGGCUAACUACGUGCCAGUAGCCGCGGUAAUACGUAGGUGGCAAGCGUUGUCCGGAUUUACUGGGCGUAAAGGAUGCGUAGGCGGAUUUUUAAGUGAGAUGUGAAAACCCUAAGCUUAACUUGGGGACUGCAUUUCAUACUGGAAAUCUAGAGUGCGGGAGAGGAGAAUGGAAUUCCUAGUGUAGCGGUGAAAUGCGUAGAGAUUAGGAAGAACACCAGUGGCGAAGGCGAUUCUCUGGACCGUAACUGACGCUGAGGCAUGAAAGCGUGGGUAGCAAAACAGGAUUAGAUACCCUGAUAGUCCACGCCGUAAACGAUGAGUACUAGGUGUAGGAGGUAUCGACCCCUUCUGUGCCGCAGUUAACACAAUAAGUACUCCGCCUGGGAAGUACGAUCGCAAGAUUAAAAACUUAAAUGAAUUGACGGGGGUCAUAGCUG
rnacentral:rRNA from 1 species